rnacentral:lncRNA from 1 species
ACCCCCCAACCUAUAAUUUGCUAGUCCUCAAGCAAAAUAAAAUCUAACUCACUUUCGCAGGAAUCGCGAUUGCAUUUACCGUAUGCAAUAAGGCUUUAAACCCCUAGGUGGCCCUAGUGGACGAGUUUUGUCUCGUGAGGGUUUCCGGCUCAGAUACCCACAAACUGUAGUCGAAAAAAUUUAUUUUAUUAUUUUAUAAAAUCUAAUUUCAAAUGCAUUAAUGCCAAGAAUUUCAAAAGCACACAAAGUUUUAAUUACUAAGUCAGCCCAAAUCCUAAGUCAGUAUGCAACUUAAGUUGAAGUCAUUAAGUUUCCGUUAGGGAGUUGUAAGACUUAUUUAUACUUGGAUGCUUGGUGAUAUCUGGACCAUACACAAGCUAAGGCUUUAGAUCCCCAAAAUACUGCUAAAGCUAGUAGUUUCCAAGAAUUGGUCAGAUAAGACCUAAUCACUGAUUCAAAAUCAUCCUAUCUUGCAGAAUUUCGAGAGUUGUGGAUGUUUACUUUAAUACCUCAUGGGCUUUAUCUGUAAUAUUCCAGUUUACUCGAAUUUUUUCAACGACGGCUUUCACACUAUCGUGUUUUUCGAGGUCAAUUUUAUUAUUUUUUUAUUUUUUCCUUUUUUUGUAUUUAUAAAUAAUUUAUGCACUUUUACUCUUGUAAUGAUUCCUCCGUGUAGCGAGCAUUCAGUCAACACUCCCACACCAGAUGGCGUAAGGUGUUGGGCAUCAAGACUCCCCUACGGACCUAUGCUCGGGUUCCUCAUACAAGCCCGCUGACCUUUGACAAUAGGUAGCCCUUUUCGAUGUACCUGACUAAAUUCACUUUUUUUUUUAAUAGUGAAUUAGAUAGGUAUGAUUCAUCAGGACUCAAGGUUGCUACCAG